GGGUCUGUAAUUGGUUUCGACAGAUUAGUUAUGGUUGAGUAAGCAUACCGUGGGCAGGCACGUUAAAACCUUAGGUUUUAAAUAAACGGAAAUACAAAUUAUUCUUUCGCUUGCUAGUUAGCUAAGCGACCCUGUUUUACAGGUUAACUCAUAUAUUUCUUUGUCUGUGAGGGAUAUAUGGGUCAAAUAGCAGACUUUGAUGAUUAGGACAGCUUGACCUAUGAUUCGAGAUUUAGAGCUGGUAAAUUAUUAGUUUUGUUUAUUUUCUAAUAAUUUAUAAGACCAAAUUAAUAAACUAAGUAUGUAGAAAGCGAAAUUUGCGCUAGUUUGGACACGAGUUCGACUCUCGUCAGAUCCACCA
rnacentral:tmRNA from 1 species